UACAGAGGGGGCAAGCGUUGUUCGGAAUUACUGGGCGUAAAGGGCGCGUAGGCGGCCUGCUAAGUCGAACGUGAAAUCCCCGGGCUCAACCGGGGAACUGCGUCCGAUACUGGUGGGCUCGAAUCCGGGAGAGGGAUGUGGAAUUCCAGGUGUAGCGGUGAAAUGCGUAGAUAUCUGGAGGAACACCGGUGGCGAAGGCGGCAUCCUGGACCGGUAUUGACGCUGAGGCGCGAAAGCGUGGGGGAGCAAACAGG
rnacentral:rRNA from 1 species